CAAUGGAGAAAAAAUUAACUGUCUCCUUGAUACGGGUUCACAGGUUACCACUGUCCCCCAUUCGUUUUAUAAACAGCACCUGGCUGAACAAGAGAUCAAACCUCUACACGAUCUCUUACAGGUAGAGGGCGCAAAUGGGCAAUCGGUGCCCUACUUAGGUUACAUUGAAAUGACCAUUAAUUUUUCACAGGCUUUGUUUGGUGUACCAAUAGGAGUGCCUACCCUUGCUUUGGUUGUACCUGAAGUCCGGGCCGACUCACAGUCCCUUGUCCUGAUAGGUACCAAUACCAUGGAUGUCUUGUACGACAUUUAUUCAGACAGUGAGCCAACCAACUACCAGCCAGCCCAUUAUGGCUAUCAAGCAGUGAUCAAAGUCCUUGAACUUCGACGCAGACAAGCUAAUGAUAGCCAUGGCAUGGUGAGACUAC